rnacentral:misc_RNA from 1 species
UCGUAACAAACACCUGGGAGGUGCUCAAAGGCUGUCGCCGACUCGAAAGGGUUGUGCACGCCAGAGGGCAUCCUCUCGUGUGAAAUCCAUCUCACCCUUUUGUGCACCACCGCGUGGGCCCCCUCCUCGAGGGGGCUCGCGUUUUCACACAAACCCCCCUUUGUAAACCUACAUAGAAUGAAUCCACUUUUUGCGUUGACACGCGAUAAAUA